GUUCCUUCUAACGCUGAAAAACUCACAAAUACGAUAAAGUCAGGCCACAUGCUUGCUUAGUUUUUAGAGCCAUUAAAGAAUGUGCCAGGAUGCUAAGAUCUCUGUUUCUCCCCAUCCUUUGAGUGUUCUAUCACUGUAAAAAGGGGUCAUAGGUUUAAAGAGGACAAGACUCUGGUCCUUUUUGUACCAAAUGACCUCAGGGAAGGGACUCCACAGGAUUCCGAUUUCAGAGCUUAGAUGGAAGAGCUGACUCUGGUCUGGGCCCAUUCAAGAACAGGGGAUGGUUGCAAAGGAAGCCCCUACACAGAAUCAGAAGUGAUCAAGUUGGGGGCAGCCCUAUGGGACCAGAAGACUGAUAGCUAUGCAAUCAAACCAGCUUCAAAGAAAAGAAAGAGGAGCAAGAGAAGACAGCAGACGGGCAAAGGACUGCAGCUCAAUCGACCGCAAUCAGCUGGAGGCGAUCGCUGUUGGGCCUCUUCCAGGGCCUGGAACACCAUGAGGUUAUCAAAAGGGCGGAGGAGAAAACAGAAAGUGGGGAGGCGGCCCCAGCCACCCGGAGAAAUAAAAAUAUAAAGAGGAAAGACAUAGGAACCAGACAAAGGAGCAUGUUUGUAGGGAGAGAGGAUCACACUCCAAGCAAAACGAAGCCGAGACCAAGAACAAAUGACUGGAAAGUCCUGACCUUGUCCGUGUCUCCUGAAUCAGCCAUGCCUGAAGUCUGCUCCAAGAUCAUCUAACUCAUACGGCAACAUGCUGGUUGGGUUCUGUCAACAUGCUACAAACCUAGACAUGUCUGGGAAGAGGGAUUUUGAGAAAAUUCAUCCAUAAGAUUUGCCUGUGGGCACAUCUGUGGGGCAUUUUCUUCAUUAAUGAUUGAUAUGGUAGGGCCCAGCUCAUGGAAGCGGGUGCCAUCCCUGCGUAGGAUGUCCUGAUUUGUAUAAGAAACCCGGCUGAGCAAGGUAGAAGGAGCAAGCCAGCUAGCAACACUCUUCCAUGACUUCUGCAUCAAUUGCUGCCUCCAGGUUCCUGCCUUGAGUUCUUGCUUUGACUUCCCUCGGUGAUGGACUUUGAUGGGAAACUUUAAGCUGAAAUAAACACUUUCUUCCCUUA